AACGAACGCUGGCGGCAUGCCUAACACAUGCAAGUCGAACGAGACCUUCGGGUCUAGUGGCGCACGGGUGCGUAACGCGUGGGAACCUGCCCUUAGGUUCGGAAUAACUCCCCUAAAGGGGUGCUAAUACCGGAUAAUGUCUUCGGACCAAAGAUUUAUCGCCUUUGGAUGGGCCCGCGUUGGAUUAGCUAGUUGGUAGGGUAAAAGCCUACCAAGGCGACGAUCCAUAGCUGGUCUGAGAGGAUGAUCAGCCACACUGGGACUGAGACACGGCCCAGACUCCUACGGGAGGUAGCAGUGGGGAAUAUUGGACAAUGGGCGAAAGCCUAAUCCAGCAAUGCCGCGUGAGUGAUGAAGGCCUUAGGGUUGUAAAGCUCUUUUACCCGGGAUGAUAAUGACAGUACCGGGAGAAUAAGCUCCGGCUAACUCCGUG
rnacentral:rRNA from 1 species